rnacentral:rRNA from 1 species
UACGAAGGGGGCGAGCGUUGUUCGGAUUUACUGGGCGUAAAGGGCGCGCAGGCGGCUUUGUUUGUCAGGCGUGAAAGCCCCGGGCUUAACCUGGGAACUGCGUUUGAUACGGCAGGGCUAGAGUUCGGGAGAGGAGAGUGGAAUUCCCAGUGUAGAGGUGAAAUUCGUAGAUAUUGGGAAGAACACCGGUGGCGAAGGCGGCUCUCUGGACCGGCAUUGACGCUGAGGUGCGAAAGCGUGGGGAGCAAACAGG